AUCUUCCUACUGUAUUUUCCACUGCAUGCAUCCAAUGAAAUGGGCUGCAGCCCACGAAAGCCCAUGCUCAAACAAACCUGCCAGUCUCUAAGCUGCCACAAGCACUCCC